GUGGCUGACUUCACCGAUAAUACUCUACACACUGUGGCUGGCUACUCGGCAGUCAGAGCAAUAUUGAGGACUAUAAAGACUUUUCUUUUCCAUGGAGCCUUUGGAAGAUGCCCUGAUAGACCUGUCUGAAUGUUAGCAGAUGCAUUUGUAUCAGAAUUCAGAAGGAUGUCAGAUGAACACAUAUUGAGUUUGCUCCAGCCUGGAUAUGAAAUCAUACUCAUAUGAUGUGAUCACGAGCAGCUGGUGAUUGGUAGCAGCUUCAGUUGCAUUCCAAAAGGAACAAUGGAUUUAAGAGGCUAGAAGCCAUCAGCAACUGCUUCCUGCCCAAGAGGAGAAGCAUGAAUAAAUCUUCACAGUCAGAACAAAUGCCAUAUGCAGCCACCUUCCAAAGGCACCGGUAAACAAGGUGGUGUAAACAGAAGAGCAGUUCUGCGCUUGUCCAUAUGUUCCCGAGAAAGCCAGGGGGAGGAGGCUGGUGAGUUUAUUCGUGCACCAUUGGUCCACUGGCAAAUGCCCAGGAGGGGAGGUCUCUGGAAUGCUGUGAGUCAUGCAGUUCCGGAUGCUACAAUAAUGCCAGUUUACUAACCACAUGCAGACAACUUUCACUGUAUCCUCUUUCCUCCAGCCUCCCCCUAAGACAAGCAAAUAACAAAUGCAACAAGACAAAAGUUCCAUCUGUCGAACUGACUCACGGGGUUACCCCAUAUUCUCUUAUGGAUGUCCAAACGAGCUUGAGUUCCUGGAUUUGAUCAGGUUAAAUUCUGGGCAACAGUUUCCCACCAAAGGAGGGUUAUUCUCAAGAAUUCCAGACAGAACAUCAAUGGAUUUUGAUAAUGGGGCCAUUGAAGGACAUCUGGACAGCUAAAUUUCUCCUCCUCUUUUUCCCAGGGCUAAGUGAGCUUCUUUGCCAGGUCGUGGCCAGAACCUGCCGCACCUCAGAUGAUCUCAUCGUUCUGUGCUCAUUUUAACCCUCCCAAAAUCUCUUGCAAGGUUUUACCCACAGCUGACGCUCAUAUUCCUGAUGCACUCUUCAAGAAGGGCAGCGCAUGUUACAAAAAAAGCUCAAGAAAAGUCGUAUUAGAGAAUUUUGAUCCCCCAAAUAUUAACUUCUGAGUGACAGCCAGCUCGCUCAAUUGUGAUCAGGUGCUGGAGGUCAGUCAAGCUGUCACGAUGUCAUAGUUUUUUUGGUUUUUUUUUUUGUUGUUGUGAUGGUGGUGGUGGGGGAUGUUUUUGGCAGCAAUGGGACACUGAUGGCUUGGAGUGUGCUUGAAAUGUCUCCAAACUUCACCUCUGAAGCCGCAAACACAUGGGCAGUCAGGUAGCACAGGCCGGGGGGGACUGGGGAAUUACAAGAGACCAAAAAAUAUAAGAGCCAUUAGUACUCAUCAUAAUUAUUGAGAUCUGUAAAAUAGGCGUUAGAAUAGGUCUUUGCAGUAUGAUGUGGAUUGAAGUAUUUGUUUCGUUCCUCUAGGAUCAAGUUGUUUUUGUUAAAUGCCUGCAAAAAGGAUAAAAAAAAAAAAACCCAGUAAGUGAUAUUUCUGAAGGAGACCUCUUUAUUUAGAUCUCGAACUCUGCAUUUCCACAUGUUCAGAGAGACCUCUUUCCCACUUGCAUUGUCCACUGAGUGGUAAAAGGUCACCUGAUUAGGGGGUUCACUCCUAAAGAGAGAUGGUCCGUCAUAGUUGUGGCCAGCUUAAUCAGUAGCUUAAAAUCUUUCAACUGUGAAUUUCAAAUGCUGCCUGAAGCUUCUAGGAGCAUGAUUUUUGUAGAGCAGAAAUGGCUUUAGUAGACCCUAAUGAUCCUAAAAGAAUGGCAGCAUUAAAAGUGUUGGGGAUUUUUUUCAUUUCCACAGACAAUACAGCUUAGUAACCUUCACAGUUCUUCAGUCAAAAACGUUUGGGUUAGCCAGUUCAGCCUGACUAACCUCGAUUUUCCAUGUUAAUUAUAUUAAAUUUUGCUUUCAUUUUCUGGACUUGUCAUCCUUCUGGUCGAUGGCUCUCGUGCCUUUCAUCCUAGGCCACUGGUCCUCUCUUCCAACGGCCACUAAACUGGCCCAGGGAUACUCAACAUACUACCAGUGGGCUGAAGGAGACACAGAAAACAGCAGUUAUAGGCCCGGGUGCAGCUGGCCUGCUACAGUGGGAUUCCUGGAUCCGUGGAAGAGUCAUAUUUGUCCAGUUUGUUGAUGUGGUUAGUGAUGCUGGUAUUAAGCGGAGCUGGUGACACUGGAUGGAUGACGGUUGCAUCAUGAGAUUGCUGCUGAUAACGUUGGCAGUAGGUAUAGAUGAGCAGUGUAAGAAGACAACCGAGAAUGGAGCUGCUUAAUCCUACCGCGAUCAUAUGGAACAUGUUGAACUCUGAAAAGCGUAUUUCAAAAGCAAUAUUAUUACAUUGAAGCUGUAAAUGUGCUGUAAGAUAUUUUUUGUUGUUGUUGACCUGUAAUUUUCUAAGGAAAUGACUGUGUUUCAGUUUAAAGUGUCACAGUUAUCAAUUGUCAUUCUUGUAAGAGCAAAAACAUUUCAAGUCAAUGUCCUCAGAUAUUAAUUGGUAUUUUUCUAUACAGAGUACUUUAAGACACGUAAAAGAGAAAUGUAGUUACUGUUGUUUUCAUAAGAAAAAUAUCUGUCCUUUUUAGUGAAACAGUUUCAUGAAGUCUUCUAAAGACACCAUGUAUGCAAAUAAAUUAAAAAUCAAUUUUCAAGCAA